AUCUAAACCUGACAGGAGUGGACAUCCCGAUUUUUCAUCGGGAUAAAGCGGAUGGCAGGGCUUUCG
rnacentral:sRNA from 1 species